AGCGGAGGAAAAGAAACUAACAAGGAUUCCCCUAGUAACUGCGAGUGAAGCGGGAAGAGCUCAAAUUUAAAAUCUGGCAGCUUCGCUGUCCGAGUUGUAAUCUGGAGAAGCAUUUUCCGCGUUGGACCGUGUACAAGUCUCUUGGAACAGAGCGUCAUAGAGGGUGAGAAUCCCGUCCAUGGCACGGACUACCAAUGCUUUGUGAUAUGCUCUCGAAGAGUCGAGUUGUUUGGGAAUGCAGCUCAAAAUGGGUGGUAAGUUCCAUCUAAAGCUAAAUAUUGGCGAGAGACCGAUAGCGAACAAGUACCGUGAGGGAAAGAUGAAAAGCACUUUGGAAAGAGAGUUAAACAGUACGUGAAAUUGUUGAAAGGGAAACGCUUGAAGUCAGUCGCGUUGUCUGGGACUCAGCCUUGCUUUUGCUUGGUGUACUUCCCAGUUAACGGGUCAACAUCAAUUUUGGUCGGUGGACAAAGGUUGAAGGAAUGUGGCAUCCUUGGAUGUGUUAUAGCCUUCUUCCGUAUACACUGGCUGGGAUUGAGGUCUGCAGCACGCCUUUAUGGCCGGGGUUCGCCCACGUUACGUGCUUAGGAUGUUGGCAUAAUGGCUUUAAGCGACCCGUCUUGAAACACGGACCAAGGAGUCUAACAUGCUUGCGAGUAUUAGAGUGGAAAACUCUUAUGCGUAAUGAAAGUGAAAGUUGGGACUCUUCAUCGAGGCACCGACGCCCGGCCCUGAAGUUUACUGACGGUGCCGCGGUAGAGCACGUAUGUUGGGACCCGAAAGAUGGUGAACUAUGCCUGAAUAGGGUGAAGCCAGGGGAAACUCUGGUGGAGGCUCGUAGCGAUUCUGACGUGCAAAUCGAUCGUCAAAUUUGGGUAUAGGGGCGAAAGACUAAUCGAACCAUCUAGUAGCUGGUUCCUGC
rnacentral:rRNA from 1 species